rnacentral:rRNA from 1 species
AACGAACGCUGGCGGCAUGCCUAACACAUGCAAGUCGAACGAAGCCUUCGGGCUUAGUGGCGCACGGGUGCGUAACGCGUGGGAACCUGCCUUUAGGUUCGGAAUAACUCUCCGAAAGGGGUGCUAAUACCGAAUAAUGUCUUCGGACCAAAGAUUUAUCGCCUUUAGAUGGGCCCGCGUUGGAUUAGCUUGUUGGUGAG